rnacentral:rRNA from 1 species
UGAAUGAGUAUUUAAAAAUUAAUAUGCGUGGGUAAAGAUUAGAGAUACCCAUAGUAGUGUGUAAUUCUUAGGUUGAAAUAAGGGGAAGGAACUCGGCAAAUUUUAGCUUCGCCUGUUUAUCAAAAACAUGGCUCUUUGGUAUUUAGGUAUAAAGAGUCAAACCUGCCCAGUGAAAUUUUUAACGGCCGCGGUACCCUGACCGUGCAAAGGUAGCAUAAUCAUUUGCCUUAUAAUUGAAGGCUUGUAUGAAUGGUUUAACGAAAGCACUGCUGUCUCCCCCUUAAUAAGUAGAAUUUGACUUUUAGGUGAAGAGGCCUAAAUGUAAUUGAAAGACAAGAAGACCCUGUCGAGCUUGAAAAUUAAGUUAGGAGCGAGAUAUAACAUGCCUUAAAUUUAUUACUAACUAUUUUUUUGGUUGGGGCGACCGAGGAACAAUAAAAGCUUCCUUUUUUGUAUUAACUUAUAGGUGCUGAUCCAGUUAGAGCUGAUUAAAAAAAUUAGUUACCGCAGGGAUAACAGCAUAAUCUCUCUUGAGAGAUCAAAUCGAAAGAGGGGGUUGUGACCUCGAUGUUGGACUAGAAUAUCCUAAAGAUGCAGAAGUCUA